GCAAACAAAGGCAUUAUGUCCUGAGAUAGAGUGGAGUUGUGUUGACGUUGCGAAAGCCUUUGCAUGUUGACGACAGAAUGUUUUUCCUUUCCUUUAACGCUUCCAAGAGGAUUGCCUUUUAAGAGAGGACAAGCCUGUUUCUCAUGUGAUAAUCUGAAGCAAUGAAAGCAUUUCUUCCUGAUUCGCUCGUAGUCUACAUCUACCACUGCAGUACCACCUCCUUUUGGUAAUGUUAUACUCUUCUUCUCCCGGACUGGCAGGCUAAGAUCCAUAAUAACUUGUGCUCUCACAUAGUCCUGUAGUAAGGGUUUCUCAGGAUCC
rnacentral:lncRNA from 1 species